rnacentral:lncRNA from 1 species
GACUUUUAAAAUAGAGACCAACGUGGCCGGGCAGGAAGAGCAGGGUCCCGCCUUCAGGUGUUUGGGACUCAGCUGAGGGUGUGGGUGCCCCGCGGUGGGGGCUGAACCUUCCUGGGGUGUGGAGAGACGAAAGGAGCCCAGAUCCAAGUUCCCUCGUUCCCGCUUUGGCAUAAGUUGCCCUGGCGGUCUCAUGAGAGAGAGAAAGAGCUGGGACCCUCCUCGCCCCAGUGAGUGUGAUGUCUUGCUCCGGGUGUCCUGGGGCAACUUUCUAUACAGGCGGGACGUGGGAGGAUCAGACAGUGUAACAUCAGACAAGGGUGUUGACUCUGCAGCACAGAACCAGUAGUUUGUGGAGAAGAAUGGAGGUGUGGUGUUGAAUCUGCUAGACAGGCUACUGAAGCAAAAGUCAAGAGAUCCAGAUUCCAUCAUGGGGACACUUUAGUUCUUCAUCGGGUAAUUGAGCUGAUAUCAGGUGUCUGAAGGAGGCAAGUUUUGAAGAUGUGGGUCAUGAUGGCUGCUGAAGCUUCCACUCCAUAUUUGAAGGUCAGCAGUUCUCAGGAAACCUCUAGCACUUCCAUCCCUGGUGGGAUGUGAUGCCUGUCUCAGUGUAACAUCAGAGAAGGGGUGUACUCUGUGCCCUAGAACUAGGAGCUAACAGAGAAAAACCAAAUGUGAUGUGGAGUCUGCUAGACAGGCUACUGGAGCAAGAGUGAAGCGAUGAAAGUCUCAUCAUUGGGACAUAUUAGGGAGGCAGCAGGUGGCUGAAAUCCUGGUGUGAUGUGGCUGGAUCAUGCAUGAUCUGAGGACUCCUGCACAGGUGACUGCAGGAUGAGUACAGAAUUUUUCUAUAAAUAUACUAAAAUACCAAGUAAGCCAGGAGCAGCCACUAGGCAAACACCAAACCUUGCAUUCCUGGCCAAACCUAUCACAGAGCUCAUCAGGUAAGUUCAAAGACACACCUGUCUUCCCAGCAUUGGGAACUGGAUUGGGGUCUACUCAGAGGCAUGAUGUUGACCAGAUUUUAUGAAACACCCAAGAAUGUAGAGAACAUUCUGUCUUUAAAACCUUGAAUUCAAAACAUAUCAGAGAGAGAUUUACUUCCCUUAUAUGGAUGUCUGUGUUCUCAUUAGGAGAGAAACAAUGAAAAAUGACUUUUCACAAUGCCUGCCUUAGCCGUGAGGCUCAGCCAACCCCCACUUCUAUGUCUCAGCAUUUAAAGGGCAAUUGAAGUCCCACUCCAUGCUAUAUACUCUCAAGAGGUUUUCUCAUUUACCCUUCAGAACAGCUCUGUAAAGAUGGUAUGGUCAGUCCCAUUUCACAGAUGACUAAGCUCAGGCUCACAGAGCCUAAGUCACCCCUCCAGGUAAGUGGCAGGGUUGGAAUGAGGUUCUAUUCCUCACCCUCCCUAGAGAACCCUGAGCAGCUUCCGUUUUAGAAGAUGGGUUUCCAGGGCUUGAGAAAUGGUCAGAUUCCCCCCUGAUAUUGUGGCCCCACAGGUCCUCACUCCACAACCCCUCUGGGUGAUGAGGAAGACAGAAGAGGUGAAAUCCUGCGCUUUGUGCCAUGAGAUCUGGGUGUAGGGCCACAGGAGUUAGCUAAUCCUUGAAGUGGUGAGUGGGCUCAGGCAGAAGCUCAAGUGUUGGCCUUGGGACAGGUGAGCUGGAGAGAAGGAAAGUAACAUGCACUGAACCACUGUAAGCAAAUGCAAUUUACAGCUCAUCUCCUUUAAUCCUAACAACCAUUUAAGAUACUCAUCAUUCUGACCAUUAUUCAGAUCAGUGUGCUGUCUUUAGGGGAGUUUAUGUAAGUCAGGGAAACAACCUAGUUGUCCUGUGAUCAUCAGCUAACUCUGGAAUACUCCAAAGUUGUAUCAUUUUCUCUUGAUGUCUCCAGGGCUCUGAAUGUUCUAAUCUCCCUGCAGGCUGAUAGCGCCUGCUCCUCAUGGUGUUAUUCAACAUUUUUUCUUUUUAAAUUAUGACCUGUAUAUUUUUGUCACAUUAUUGACAUUUAAAACACUUUCUCAGUAAAAAUAAGGCUAAACAUUUUUUAACUUAAGGGAGAAAACAUUUGCAAACUACAUCUCAGAUACUGGGUUAGUAUCCAUGAUUUGUGAACCACAUUCUGUAACAAAAUGACUGGCAGCUGUUUUCAACAGACAUUCUCAUUAAAAUGUACAUGAACAAUAAACAUGUUAAAAUAUGUCAAAACUGGAAGUACUAAUAAGAUGCAAAUAUAAAUCUUCAAGAGAAUAUUAUGUGGAAGAAAAAAGUUGCAAAAAAAAUUAGUACUGUGAUUCACUUUUGGAACAGAUUGUGUGUUUGCGUGCACCUCACCUACAGGGACACAUCUGGAGAGUAUGCACCAUUCUGUUGACAACAGACCCUUUUGGGUCAGAGGGUAGGCUUCAGGCCAGUGAGAUAUGCAGAUUCAUUUCAAUUUAUAAAUAUACUUUUAUACAUUGUUUGAAAUUUUGUAUUUAGGGAAAAAAGCAUUUCAAUAAAUACUUUUGAAUAGAUUGGCAACAGUAAUUGUAAUGUAUUUCAUUAAUUCGAAAGUACAUUCAUUGUAUUCAAUUUUGUAUUGAGACAAAGUAGAUAAAAAUGGAAUUGAUAAUGUCUAUGUGUGUGAGUGUGUGUGUGUGUGUGUGUGUGUAUCUUCUCUUGCUCUAUCACCCAAAUAAACAUACGUGCAGCUUUACCUUUAAUUCAGACAGGGGAUGGAACCAAUAUCAGUUUUAGAUAUCCCAGAAAAUAGUGGAUACAGAGAGACAGCUACCAUGAGCUGAAUAAUUCCGGAAGACUCCAGCUGAUACCUUCUGGGAGCCAAAUUCCCAAACUCCAUCCCUCUUUCCCUCUUACCGAGGCCCUUGGCUGACAGAGAUGCAAUCCUGUCUCUGGGCACCAGAUGGCAUCGAUCUCUUUAUUUUUUUUUUUUUAAUAAAAAGGAGUAUAUUUUGUAGAGUAACGAAGGACUUAAAAUGGUUUGUUUACCAUGAUCAUAAUUCUGU